UACGUAGGGUCCGAGCGUUGCUCGGAAUCACUGGGCGUAAAGGGUGCGUAGGCGGGUCUUUAAGUCAGGGGUGAAAUCCUGGAGCUCAACUCCAGAACUGCCUUUGAUACUGAAGAUCUUGAGUUCGGGAGAGGUGAGUGGAACUGCGAGUGUAGAGGUGAAAUUCGUAGAUAUUGGGAAGAACACCGGUGGCGAAGGCGGCUCUCUGGACCGAUACUGACGCUGAGGCGCGAAAGCGUGGGGAGCAAACAGG
rnacentral:rRNA from 1 species